CCAAAGGCUCUUUUCAGAGCCACUUAAUUUCGUUAAGAAAGAGGUGG
rfam:Canis lupus familiaris chromosome 35, whole genome shotgun sequence.